rnacentral:rRNA from 1 species
CUAGGGGGCUGUCAUGGCUUACCAAACCGAUGCAAACUCCGAAUACCGGCUAAUUGAAUCACGGGAGACACACGGCGGGUGCUAACGUCCGUCGUGGAGAGGGAAACAACCCAGACCGCCAGCUAAGGUCCCCAAGUACUAGUUAAGUGGGAAACGAUGUGGGAAGGCAUAGACAGCCAGGAGGUUGGCUUAGAAGCAGCCACCCUUUAAAGAAAGCGUAAUAGCUCACUGGUCGAGUCGGCCUGCGCGGAAGAUGUAACGGGGCUAAAACUAGUCACCGAAGCUGCGGAUGUGCGCGAAGGCGCACGUGGUAGGGGAGCGUUCUGUAGGCUGAUGAAGGUGCAUUGAGAAGUGUGCUGGAGGUAUCAGAAGUGCGAAUGCUGACAUGAGUAACGAUAAUGUGGGUGAAAAGCCCACACGCCGGAAGUCCCAGGUUUCCUGCACGACGUUAAUCGGAGCAGGGUGAGUCGGCCCCUAAGGCGAGGCUGAAGAGCGUAGUCGAUGGGAACCAGGUUAAUAUUCCUGGACUUUUUAUAAGUGGUGAAGUGGGGACGAAGAAGGCUAGGUGAGCCAGGCGUUGGUUGUCCUGGUACUUGCAUGUAGGGGGGAAGACUUGGCAAAUCCGGUUUUCCAUAACUCUGAGGUGCGAAGUGGUUCUGACCUUUUGGUACAGAGAAGUCAUUGAUGCCCGGCUUCCAGGAAAAGCUGCUAGCCAUAACUUAUAGAGAACCGUACCGCAAACCGACACAGGUGGACAGGUAGAGAAUACUAAGGCGCUUGAGAGAACUCGGGUGAAGGAACUAGGCAAAAUGGUACCGUAACUUCGGGAGAAGGUACGCCCUUUCUGGUGAUGGGAUUUACUUUCAGAGCUGGAGAGGGCCGCAGAGACCAGGUGGCUGCGACUGUUUAUUAAAAACACAGCACUCUGCAAAUUCGUAAGAAGACGUAUAGGGUGUGACGCCUGCCCGGUGCCGGAAGGUUAAUUGAUGGGGUUAUCUUCGGAGAAGCUCUUGAUCGAAGCCCCGGUAAACGGCGGCCGUAACUAUAACGGUCCUAAGGUAGCGAAAUUCCUUGUCGGGUAAGUUCCGACCUGCACGAAUGGCGUAACGAUGGCCACACUGUCUCCACCCGAGACUCAGUGAAAUUGAAAUCGCUGUGAAGAUGCAGUGUACCCGCGGCUAGACGGAAAGACCCCGUGAACCUUUACUAUAGUUUUGCACUGGACUUUGAUGAUGACUGUGUAGGAUAGGUGGGAGGCUGUGAAGUGAGGACGCUAGUUCUCAUGGAGCCGCCCUUGAAAUACCACCCUGUUGUUAUUGAGGUUCUAACUUGGUCCAGUAAUCCUGGAUGAGGACAGUGUAUGAUGGGUAGUUUGACUGGGGCGGUCUCCUCCCAAAGAGUAACGGAGGAGCACAAAGGUACCCUCGGUACGGUCGGACAUCGUACCAAGAGUGUAAAGGCAAAAGGGUGCUUGACUGCGAGAGUGACGGCUCGAGCAGGAACGAAAGUUGGUCUUAGUGAUCCGGUGGUUCUGAAUGGAAGGGCCAUCGCUCAACGGAUAAAAGGUACUCCGGGGAUAACAGGCUGAUACCGCCCAAGAGUUCAUAUCGACGGCGGUGUUUGGCACCUCGAUGUCGGCUCAUCACAUCCUGGGGCUGAAGCAGGUCCCAAGGGUAUGGCUGUUCGCCAUUUAAAGUGGUACGCGAGCUGGGUUUAGAACGUCGUGAGACAGUUCGGUCCCUAUCUGCCGUGGGCGUAGGAAAAUUGAGAGGAGCUGCUCCUAGUACGAGAGGACCGGAGUGGACGAACCUCUGGUGCACCGGUUGUCACGCCAGUGGCAUGGCCGGGUAGCUAAGUUCGGACGGGAUAACCGCUGAAAGCAUCUAAGCGGGAAGCCUCCCUCAAGAUGAGUUUUCCCAUGAAGCCCGUUGAAGACUACGACGUUGAUAGGCAAGGUGUGGAAGCGCAGUAAUGCGUGAAGCUAACUUGUACUAAUUGGCUGAUUGUCUUGACCAUA